rnacentral:rRNA from 1 species
AGAGAGAGACAUGCGCGCAUAUCAAUAAGCGGAGGAAAAGAAACUAACUAGGAUUCCCUUAGUAACGGCGAGUGAAGCGGGAAGAGCUCAAAUUUGAAAUCUUCAAGGUUUUACCUUGACGAAUUGUAGUUUAAGGAAGUGUUUUCUGCUGGAGUUUUGGUAAGAGUUCUUUGGAAUAGGACAUCAUAGAGGGUGAGAAUCCCGUAUUUGACCAUUAUUUUCAGCUUUGUGAUACACUUUCAAAGAGUCGGAUUGUUUGGGAAUGCAGUCCAAAAUGGGUGGUAAAUUUCAUCUAAAGCUAAAUAUUGGCGAGAGACCGAUAGCGAACAAGUACCGUGAGGGAAAGAUGAAAAGAACUUUGAAAAGAGAGUUAAACAGUACGUGAAAUUGUCAAAAGGGAAGCGUUUGACACCAGUGUUGUUUUCUCGAAAAUCAAUUAAAAAAUGGCUAGGAUUUUGUAUGUUGUAUUGACCUUUAUCAAGCUUCACUGCUACAUCUUUUCGUGUCUUUUUUAAUGCACUUUUCGUUUAAUAAGUCAACAUCAGUUUCUUUUGUUGUAAAAGGGUCAUUGGAAGGUGGCUUUCUUUUCGGAGAAAGUGUUUAUAGCCCUUGGCCUCUGCAAUCGGAGAGACUGAGGUCUGCAGCGUAGACUCUUCGGGGUUAGAUACAUUUGUGCUAAGUUAUAGCUUUUUAUAGACAACUUGUUGACUAUAAUUAGUCUUGUAGCUUACUCGCUUAUGCUAUUUUACCUACGCUUAGGAUGUUGAAGUCAUCGUAUCGCGC